ACGGAACAUCACUCAAAGCCAGACGCCGCACCCCACCAUUAAUAAAAAUGCCAACAUCUCUGCACAAACCUCUGCAGAAAUUACAAACCGAAGGACAGAAAACAAGCUUGUAAUCGCCAUAAAACUUCUCAAUCUUAAACCAAUUUCUCAUGGUUCUGGGGCCGGGAUUGCCUUCAACUCCCCCAGUUGUCACAAGCCACUGUCCUAAUACCGCAUCAAAAUUGUCAAGCUUCCACACUGUGGACUGUGCACAACUUGUUGCAGCGUCAAAUUUGAUAUUUAAGUCGGUGGACUCACGAACAACGCCUUUUUUAGGGUUAACGGGCGAAAAUGUUACCGGCAAACCAUUUCUAAAUGAGUGCUGCUCUUGAACAACAUCUAGGGGACAUGUCUUAUUGUUGCUUCUGCCAGCAAGUGUAAGCCCGCCGCCUCGGCCCUUUGUAACGGGCAAGAUAUAGUACUUACUGCCAGCUCGGAGCUGCUUACCGGCGAUGUCCACCACCGGAUCAGGUGAAGCAUUGCCGUUGACAGGCAAUGGCGUUGCUAUGAAGGCAAAGAGAAGGAUCAGCGUGGGUAAGACUAGUGUACUUCUCAUUGUUAUAUUGUUAUAUUUUUUGUUCUUAUCUUUUGUUGUUGCGUGUAAAUAACCCUUAUGAGGCCAAAUUUAUAGAGUUAGGCUAGUAUAGUUAAUUGACGGACAGCAAGUUGGUUUGAUUCGCCUAAUGUCCGAUUCCAGAAGCCAAUGGUCGCCCAUAAGACAAGAGCGGAUUAUCAGAUUCUGCUUUGUGUACUGUAAUUAUUAUUAUUUUUUUCCCGCCUAAACAGCCUGAUAAGAAGAUUUAAUACAAAUUCAACAAUAGAAAGCGUAGUCUAGUAAGAAAGUCAAAGAUUUAGUUUAGAAUUAGAAGUCAAUAAUCUUACUUUUUCUCUUACACUAAAUUUAAUGGAAUUUAAAUCUGAUUCCUGUGUCUUUGUCAAUGGUUUUGUUAUUUUGUUUAAAUUGCAUAGUAUAUAUGUUUAAUUUUAAGGACAUGUUUCUUUUCUUUGAUUCCUGUGUCUUUGUCAAUGGUUUUGUCAUUUUGUUUAAAUUGCAUAGUAUAUAUGUUUAAUUUUAAGGAUAUGUUUCUUUUCUUUUUGUGCUGAAGUUAGUCUCGUCAAGCUAGGUGUUUAUCGAAAAAUUAAAUUAGCAAAGAAAUGAUAAAGCAUGUGUUUAGGGAGGCACAACUUGGCCCCUCUUCUUGAAUAUAAAAAUUGCACCAAGAAUUUGAAAACAAGAAAUGAUGUAGAAAGAUAUAUAGAUGAUGAUAUCAAAACAUGUUACUAGCAGAUCUGUUGGCUAAGCUCAUAUGGAGAUGUCUGUUAGUAUUAAAUUAUGUGAAAUUAUGAGUUGUAUACCCUAAAUUUAUCAUAUUAUAAAAAAUAUUUUGUAAUUUUGAAUUUCUUUGAUUUUCCACUCUAAGUUUGUAAAUUAUAACCGUAUACAAACUCAAGGUGGAAAAUCAAAUAAAUUCAAACUUUUAUCGUAUUUUUUUUAUAACAUGGUGAACUUAGGGUAUAUGGCUUAUAAUUUUUUUAAGUUUUAUUUUAUUAUUUACAGUGAAAAGUCAAAAAUACCCUUGAAUUCAAGGGUAAAAUUAUCUUUUCACUUAGAUUCUAUUGAAUAUUAUAAUAGUGUUAACAUUUUGGUAGGCAGUAAUACAAUUUACAAGCUUAGGGUGAAAAAUCAAAUAAAUUUAAAUUUUUGUAUUACUUUUAUAGCAAGGUAAACUUGGUAUAUAUAGUAAAUAAUUUUCCUUUAUUUAUUUAUAUUUAGGCCCAUUUUUUAGCCCAAACGGACUACAAUAGUAAUGAAUUUGUCUUUAAAAGGGAUUGGAGUAGGGAUGGCGAACUGGUCCAUCCAAGUUGGAUAUCCAUAUAUCCAAUCUAAUUGGGUUAGAUAAUAUCUAUCCGAUGCAUUUUGGAUAUGGAUAUGAUUUUUUAGUAAAAUAUCUAAUUAUAUAUUGGAUGGAUAUAAAUAUUAGAUGGGAAUCCAUUUAUUUGAUUGGGCUAAAAAAUAAUAUUUUAUAAAAUUAAAAUUCUGCUGUACCGUACAUCCGCCUUGGCCGUACAGCAGAUACCUUUCUUUUUAUCUUUCUCUCAGUGCAUUAAUAACUACAUGUGUUAGCUUUUAUUUUAUGUCUGUGUUUUGAUAUCAAUUGAUGGUCCAAAAGUUGCGUGAACUGUGGAAGUUUUCUUCUUUGCAUGAGUUAAAUGAAACAUUUGAAAUAUACUGAUAAUUUGGUGUUCGCAUGUUAAUUUAUGGAUAAUUCGACAUAAUUCACAUGUAGAAAUUACUUUUGAAAUUUAUGGGCUAAAUAAAUUUUAUGGACUAAAAAUUCAUUUCAAACACCUGCCAUUUCUCGUAAACUAAAACUUACUAAGUAAAAAUGGUUAUUGUUUCAAUUACUUUUAUUUGUGAGUUUAUAAUUUGAUGAAUAGUUGAUUUGAAAUAUUUCAUAAACAACACUUUGGUCAAUAUUUGUGAGUGCAUGUCCAUGCUAACAUAUGUAGUAGAAUUUAGUAUGGGUUUUUUAUUUUUAAUCCCACAUCGUAGUAGAUUUCAUCCUAUAGUAUAUUAGAGACCUUAGUUUGUACUCAAAAUUAGAUAUGAGCUCAAAUAAAAGGUAUCAAACUCAUCUGAGUUCCACAUUUUGUUUGAUAACAUUUGUUUACAUUCUAUUUCAAAACCACUUUUUUUUUAAGCAAAAAGAAAAAAGAAAAAUGAAAUUCCUAAAGAUAAGCUAAUAACAGAGAAGAAAUAAAUAGAGAAGUGACUAAUAAUGAUGAUGAAUAGGAGACAUAGCCAUUAGAAGAAUAAUUUAUAAAGAAGGCUUAUUAGAAGAAUAAUUUUUUUUUGUUUUUUAGUUUAAAAUUAAUUUGUAAUUUCAAAUGAUAGUUUCUUUUUUGUGAAUUUGUAGUUAUGAUAUUUGUUAUUUGGAUUUUUUAUUUCUAAUUUAGUAUUAAAAUAUGAGAUUGAUUUAACUAUUUUAUAUUAUUAUUAUUUUAUUUCAUAUUUUUUUUCUUUCUUUUCAUAUGAUAAAAAUUAAAUAUUCAUGGGUAUUCAUAUCCACAUCCACAUCCAUAUCAAAUUUUAAAAAUUAGAUAUGAAUAUGGACAUAUCCAUCAUACCUUAUUAUGAAUUUACAUUUGGAUGGAUACUUGCCAUCGAUAGAUUGGAGUAGCUUGAUCAAAUGGAGCUCGACAAACUGGAUAUUGGUAGGAUGGUGUGUGUGUGUGUGUAUGUGUGUGCGUGCACAUGUGUGUGUGUGAGGGAAUUACUCACCAUCAAUGAUUUGCAGAUGACGAAGAUAGAUCAAAUGGAACACAUGAAAUACAUUUGGUGCAAAAAUGUGGGCUCUAAUCAGGAAAAUGAUGAACCAAAAUACCAACACGAAGAAAAGUUUUUAUUGUUCGUAAACAUGCACCAUCAAUGCAACUUUUAUUAUUACGACUUUAUUCAUUUAUUAAAGCAUGCGUAUAACCUUAAAACGAAACAAAUUUUAAUUCAACUUAUUUAAUUUAUUUUAAUUUCAAUUUAUAUGAUUUACUUAAUUUAUAAUAAAUUUAAAAAAAGUGUAUUCGAAAAUAAAAUAAAGUAAUAUUAUUAAAGAAUGGUGCCUAGUGGUUAUUACUUAUUAUAAAAAUAAUACGGAAAUAAAUAAUAUAUAUGUUUAUUUUAGUAGGGAGAAAACUAACAAACUCUUUUUUUAUAGAAAAUUUUAUCCCUAUAUCAUCAAUGUAUGGUUUAUUCAUUACAGUCCCAUGGUUGGCUUCUUUAAUUCUACAUAUUUUAUGCUAUAAUCGAGUCAAGUUCAUAGAUUGUUAUGAACUAUCAAUUCUUUGUACAAAUGAUUUAAUUUUUUCUUACUGGAAACAACUUUGAACGGAACAUCACUCAAAGCCAGACGCCGCACCCCACCAUUAAUAAAAAUGCCAACAUCUCUGCACAAACCUCUGCAGAAAUUACAAACCGAAGGACAGUAGACAAGCUUGUAAUCACCAAAAAACUUCUCAAUCUUAAACCAAUUUCUCAUGGUUCUGGGGCCGGGAUUGCCUUCAACUCCCCCAGUUGUCACAAGCCACUGCCCAAAUGCCGCAUCAAAAUUGUCAAGCUUCCACACUGUGGACUGCGCACAACUUGUUGCAGCGUCAAAUUUGAUGUUUAAGUCAGUGGACUCACGAACAACGCCUUUUUUAGGGUUAACGGGCGAAAAUGUUACCGGCAAACCAUUUUUAAAUGAAUGCUGCUCUUGAACAACAUCUAGGGGACAUGUCUUAUUGUUUCUUCUGCCAGCAAGUGUAAGCCCGCCGCCUCUGCCCUUUGUAACGGGCAAGAUGUAGUACUUACUGCCAGCUCGGAGCUGCUUACCGGCGAUGUCCAGCACCGGAUCAGGUUGAGCAUUGCCUUUGACAGGCAAUGGCGUUGCAGUGAAGGCAAAGAGUAGGAUCAGCGAGGGUAAGACUAACGUACUUCUCAUUGUUAUAUCGCUAUUGUUUUUGUUCUUAUCUUUUGUUGUUGCGUGUAAAUAUCCCUUAUGAGACCAAAUUUAUAGAAUUAGGCUAGUAUACCUAAUUGACGGACAGCAUGUUCGUUGGAUUUGAAUGUCCGAUUCGAGAAGCCGAUGGCCGCCCAUAAGACAUGAGCGGAUUAUCAGAUUCUGCUUUGUGUACUGUAACCCACCCACCACCCCGCCCCCCCCAAAAAAAAACAAAACAUCCUGAUUAGAAGAUUUAAUACAAAUUUCAAGCUAUGGAAAGCGUAAUUUGAUGAGAAAGUCAAAGAUUUAGUUUAAAGUUAGAAGUCAAUACCCUUAUCUUUUCUCUUAGACUAAAUUUAACGGAAUUUAGAUCUGAUUCCUGUGUCUGUGUUGAUGGUUUCGUCAUUUUGUUUUGCAUGGUAUAUAUGUUUAUUCUUAAAAGAACAAGUUUUUUUAGCUAAAGUUGGCCUGGUCAAGCGACGAGUUUAUUGAAAAAUUAAAGUAGCAAAGAAAUGAUAAAGCAUACGUCUAGGGAGGCACAACAUGUGCCCUGUCUUUUAAUUUAAAAAUCGCUCCAAGAAUUUGAAAACAAAAAAAGAUGUAAAAAGACAUACAAGAGAUUAUCAAAACAUGUUACUAGCAGAUCUAUUGGCUAUGUUCAUAUGGAGAUGUCUUUUAGAAUUAUAUUAUGUGAAAUUAACAGCCGUACACCCUAAGUUUACUCUGUUAUAGAAAAUAUUACAAAUUUUUCAAUUUGUUUAACUUUUCAUCCUAAGUUUUCAAACUAAAAUAAUAGUUUAAAUUUAAAAAAAUUGUGAUAAUUAAUAUUCAAUUAAAUACACUUAAAACUCUAAUAUUUUCCUUAAAUAAAAAAAAUUAUAGUUUGUCUUUUCAAUUUAUCUUAAAAAAUUUACACAAUCUAACCUAAUUCGUGGACACGCAAUCAAUUUAGUCAAUUCAUUUUCUUAAGUAAAAAAAAAACUAAAUUAAAUUUUAGUAUUUAUGAAAGUCAAAAAUUCAAUUGAAUUGAAGGGUAGAAUUUCCAUUUCACUUAAAUUCUGUUAAGUAUUCUAGCAGUGUGAACGUUUUGCUGGAUGAUUGAUAUAAAUUACAAGCUUAGAGUAGAAAAUCAAAUAAAUUCAAACUUUUGUAAUGUAUUUCAUAAGAUGUAAACUUGGGGCGUGCGGCUUAUAAUUUUUCUAAAUUUUAAUCCUUAACAAGGUUCCAACUAAAACGACUAUCAAAUCCUCUUACGAGCUUUAGACGAGAAAAAAGUCUAGUCUAAAACAUUUGCAUGUUUGGGAUGUCUAGCUGAGGUAAGGCCUUACAGGCCUAAUGAGAAACAGUUGAGUUGUUAUUUUUAUUGGAUACUCUGAAAGAUCCAGGGGGUACAAGUUUUAUGAUUCCACGACUAAGUUGGUUUUUGAGUUGGAAAAUGCUCAGUUCUUUAAGGAUGUCGAGUUUGCAAGUGUGAUAUGGCUAGGGACUUUGUAUUUGAAUAGGGAUAUGUUGAUAUUUCUUUAGGUGUUAUUGGAAUUGAUCAGGGUCUCAUGCCCCUAUACAAGAAGUUGCUCUAGAAGAACAAAUUCUACCAUCUCAAGAACCUACUCUAUUAAGGAGAUCCACUAGAGAAAUGAGGUAAACAUUCGAGUGAUGGAAGAUAAUCCGAUCAAUUACUAUCAAGACAUAGAAAUUAAGUUCUAACUCUUAGAAGUGGAUUGAUGGUGUGAAUGAGGAGAUGAAGUUUGUGAAGGAUAAUGACGUAUGAGAUCUUGUCUCAUUACCAGAAGGUGCGGAACCUAUUGGUUGCAAGUACAUAUUUAAGACCAAGAGAGAUUCGAAAGGCAAUGUAGAGCAAUACAAGGCGCGUCUUUUCAGAAAGGGCUUUACACAUAACGAAGGUAUCAGCUAUAAAGAAACUUUCUCUCCAAUUUCUUUGAAAGACUCUUUCAGGAUUCAAUCUUAUACAUCAAAUGGAUGUGAGGAUAGUGUUUCUCCAUGGUGACAUUUAUAAGAAUAUCUAUAUGGUGCAAGCAGAAAUUUUGUGUCAAGAAACCCAAAGAAUAUGAUUUGUAAAUUUAAGAAACCAUUUAUGAACUCAAGCAAGCAUCUCAACAAUGAUAUUUCAAGUUUCAUUAAGUGAACAUCUCAUUCAAUUUUGAGAUGAAUUUAAUCAAUGAUUGCAUAAAUCAUAAGUUCUAUGUAAGUAUAUUUUUCUAGUUUUAUACAUCGGAUGACAUUUUGCUUGUCAGCAAUAAUAUAGGUUAUCGCACGACAUUAAAAGAUUUCUAGUUAAAAAUUUUAAGACGAAAGAUCUUGGUGAAGCCUCUUUCGUAUUAGGCAUACAGAUACACUUGGAUCGCUCGUAAUGUAUUCUUAGAUUAUCACAAAAGAGCUAUAUCAAAACGAUUCUCAAGAGAUAUGGCAUGCAAGAUUGCAAACCAAGUGAUACCCAUGUGGCUAAGGGAGACAUGUUUAGUCUCAAUCAGUGCUUUAAGAAUAAUUUUGAGGUGAAAGAAAUGCAGAAGAUUCCUUAAUAAAAAGUCUAAUAUGUAUUCAAGUUUGUACGCGGCUGAAUAUUGCAUACGUUACUAGGAUGUUUAGGAGAUACCUAAGCAAUCUAAGAGUAGACUAUUGGAAAGCGGUGAAAUAGGUCUUGCGGUACUUACAAAAAACAAAAGGCUACAUGCUCAAAUAUCGGAUCGGAGGCUAGAUUAGAUUGAGAUCAUCGGGUAUAUUGACUCCAAUUUUGCUGGAUGCCAAGAUAGUAUAAAGUCCACAUCGGACUACAUCUAUCUACUAAUUAGGGUUGUUGUCUCUUGGAAGAAUGGUAAACAAUCUCUUGCAGCCUCUUCAACAAUGGCAACAGAGUUCAUAGCAUGUUAUGAAGCAUCUAAUCAUAGAAUGUGGCUGCAAAAUUUUGUUAUGGGACUAUGAAUAGUAGAUGGUAUUGAUAGAUCACUCAAGUUAUCUUGUGGCAAUAAGUCAAUAAUGCCUUAUUCCAACAAUAACAAGAGCUUGACGAAGUCAAAGUAUAUAGACAUCAUGUUCCUAGUUGUUAAAGAAAGAAUUCAGAAUGGGCAGUUGUGUAUAGAGUAUGUGAGCACAAACUCUAUGAUUGCAGAUCCACUUAUUAAGGUAUUGCCACCCAAGAUGCUUCAUGAGCACACUAUUUAUAUGGGUGUCAUGUUAUUAGAGGAUAUUUAGUUUAGUUGGAGAUUGUGAUUUUAGAUUCUCAUAUAAUAUAGACAUUUUUCAAUUAUUUCAGUUUAUGGAUAUUUCAGGUUAUUUUCUAUAGAAAUAAAGUUUUGGUUUAUUCACACUCUAAUUUUAAUAUGCUUUGAUCUCACUAAGGUUUAAGGUAAACCAAUUGAAAAUAAGCAUGUUAAGACUACAUUGCAUGAAAUUCUAUGCUACGCAUCCACAUUAUAAUCCAUGUCUUUUAGUUCUAGGCAUAGUGACUAUUGAUGAAUCGAGUUACAAUAGUUGUAACGAAUGUCACCUUUGAUCCUAUAUUGGUAUAAUUGAUAGACCUGAUUGAUUAUAGAUACAUUUCGAUAAUAAUAGUAACGUUGAGCUCAUACAAUUAUUUUUACAAAGCUUAAUUAUAAGGUUACAUAUAUAGCCCAAAUGAGAGAUUGUCGAUUUUUUUAAUCUAGCAUUGUUAGAUCCUUAAUCUAAUGUUGGGCUUAUAUAUGAAUAAUUAUGUGUUGCGGACUAUUAUAUAUGGUUAAGCUCAAUUAAAAGUGAUCUAUUAAGGUCUACAGUAAUAUGAGCUUUAAUGUAUUUGAUAAGGUGAGACCUUUAAUAUGUAAAGACUUAAGGGUAAUUUCCAUUUUUACGACUGGUUGAAAUAGGAAUACCUGAAGAUAAUAGAAAAAGUUAACUAUAUAAAUGGUCAUGGUCCCUAGGUCACGUGUAUCAUUUUAUUUUUUCUGACAUCCUAUCAUUAGAGAGAGCGCAAAAAAAAUUAAAGGAUUCUCUAGGAGAACGUAUUGAAUUGAAAGGCAAACCACAACCAUAGAGAGUAAUUUAGUAUUAUAGAUUCAGGUUCACUUUUCCUUAUUUUGUUAUUGAUUCUUAGUUAUAUAAAAUGAAUGGUCUUAGAUUAUAGGUGAUAGUUUUCACCAAAAGAUUUCUUGUUCUAACAUUUAAACAAAAAAAAAAAAAAAAAGUCUUGAGUAGUUGAAGAAAAAUUAAAAAAAGAAAACCUAUUUAAUUAUAAUAUAAUCCAAAGGUUUGUUGAGCAUAACUAAAAAGUUUGAGCUCAAUAACGAGUCAUGGUCAAUGAAUAAGGAUGGUUGUAUAGUAAUUAAAACUUCUAACAAAAAAAAAAAAAGAAAGAAAAGAAAAAGUUAUAAUAAUAUUUAUUUUUAUGAUCGUACGGUCAUCAGUAGUGUUCUAUCAUGGAGCAGUUCCAAUAAAGCUUAAUCUAAUUAAAAACUUUUUUCUCUUCCACCGUCACCUAUCUAAUAAUUUCCACACUAAUUUGGAUUCCGACCAAUAUAAUUUAUAAAUUCCCACCAAACUAAAAGUCUAUCAUUUUAAAUUAUAUAAUAUCAAUUGCAAUCAAAUACUUAAUUUUAUAUAACAUAUAUUAUUCAUGGAUGGACAAUAUUAUGAUAGACAAUUGUCAUAUGAAAAUAACAAAUCUAUUACACAUAAUACAUCAUAAAAUCUAUGACAUAUAUAAAUUAUCAUCAGAAAUUUUUUGACACAUGUUUUAUUGACCGACACAUGACUAUCAUCUAAUAAGGUGUAUAAUGGUAAAAAAGUAGUUUUUUUAUUUUAUUUUUACUUUUUUGUGAUCCUAGUUAGCUUUUUGUUUUCUAAAGAGAUCUUAGUUUAAAAUUAAUAAAUUUUUGGAAAAGGACAAUUGUGCUCCCCAAAGUUUAGGGAAUGGUCAUGAAGACCUCUAAGUUUUUAAUAAAGUACAUCAAAACCGUAUUUUGACCAUAAUUCUAUUUGGCUCUAUGAACUUGAAAGUUUAUUCUAAUAUUUUGUGAUAAAACAAGAUAUAAUAUUAAAAUAAAUGUAAAAAUGCCUAAUAUUAUUAGCCUACUAGACAAAUUAAGUUACUUAUAUUAUAUUUGUAUUUAUUAAAAAAUUAAAGUAAAAUUUUAAUUAUUGUACUUAAAAGGUAUUAGUGUCUAUUUAUUAAAAAUUUACGAUAUCUAUAUGAUAAUUUUUCUAAACUUUAGGAGUAUAGCUGUCAAUUGUGUUGGAAGACCUUUCAAAUCAUUAUUUAAUAUAUUUAUUUUCCUUCAAAAGCUCGUUACACAAAGGAAAUUUUAAUAUUUUAGAUGUAAAAGUAAAUUUUCUUUAAAAAAAUUAAUGGUUCAAGAUUAACAAAAUUUUUAAGUAUAAAAAUCAUUUUCACAUAAAAAGUUUUCUUAGUUUAUUAUAAAAUAUCUUGAUUGAAAAUAAUAAAAUAUAAAUUAAAUUUUAAAACAUUUUUUCAUUCAAAACAAUCAAAAUGCAUUAAUUUAUCCAGGUGGUGGGACCAAUGACAACAAAAGUAAGAUAUCCAACGGUGGUGUCAAAUUUCUGACUAAGAUGGGGUUGAGGUAGCAUGAUCGAUGUUGAAGCAUAACUUCUGUAUAAAAUCAUUGGCUAGUUCGUGCUUUGGGCCGGUGAGGUACACGAUUUGACGAGUGUGAAAAAGACGCUCGGCUCAGUCACUCUUUACGAUAACAAAAUGUUUGAAGCAGAGAGCGUGGUAAACACGUUUGAAUGACAUUGAACUAACGCAGCAGUGAAAAUGAGAAACACAGCGGGUAGUGUAGCAUGGGGUCCACAGGACAUGAUGUAAGAGAGAUUGUAAUAUUUUUUAAUAUUUAGGUUGAUAUUUUGAACGAAAAUUGUUUGUUGUUUUUGGAGAAAACGACUAACCGUUUCAUUUCAGAGAGCAUAUUUUUUGUUCUAGAGAAAAUGGUUAAUUGUUUGGAGAAAACGGCUAACUGUUUAAUUUCAGAGAGUAUAUUUUCUAUUUUAAAGAAAAUGGCUAACCGUUUGGAGAAAACGGCUAACCGUUUAUUUACAGAAAGUAACUUAUUUGACAUUCUGGAAUAAAACGGCUCACCGUUAUUGAGAAAACGGCUAACCGUUUAUUUCCAGAGAGCGUGUUUUUGCGUCAACUGGAAAAACGGUUAACAAGCUUGGAAAUUUCAAUUGUCAAUCGAUGCAAAUUCAAACCAAAAGAGUGUCUUUGAAGAAAUACCAUUUCUGAUGGUUGUAUUCUUUCUAAUAAACUUCUUCUUCAUAAAAAGAUAGACACACAAUUAGAUCAAUAUCAGAUUUUACAGAUUUCAUAUAUGUUCUGGAAAUACAAUCUUAUUUGCUAGAGAUUAUAUUCAGAAUUUGAUAUAUUUUGGGGGUAAUUUGUCAUUAAAACUCUAUAGCAAAUCAAGAUUAGUGAGGAUAAAUAAAACAUUAAAGAAAAGUGUGCAAACACAUCUCAAAUCUUAAGAAAUUUUUCUUUGUUCUUUGCCUCCAUAUUAGGAAAUUAACCAACACAUGACGUCAUUAAUUAAUCACUGAAGCGUUCGACAUAUGGAGAUACAGGUGACUAUCGGAAUGUUCCAUCCAUUUAUAGCCAUGCGAUCUUCUCAUUAUCUAAUUUGAACGGCUGAUGUCUGUGGUGGAGGAUCCUCUCAACAUUCACGUGGAGCCAAAACUAUCAAGAAUCCGUACAUUUGAUAAUUUGAUCUUUGAGCUUUUAAUUGCCUAAGAUAUUUUGCUAAGUUACAACAAAUGUAACUUACAAUUCUUGCAAAUAUGUAAAAAUUUGAGUCAUGUCAGUGGGUCACCAGUGUCAUGUUAGAAAGGUUGUAAAUUACAUUGAUUGUAAUUUGGGUUUGCCUAAGUUACAUUCAAUGUAACUUAUGGUCAUCAUGUAAAAAUUUAUUUAGCCCCCCAUACUUUAUAUUAUUUAUAUUUUAUUUGUAAGUAUUACAAAAUUUUUGGAUUGUAAAAUUUCAUUUAGCCCUUUAUACUCAAUUUUAUUUUAUUGAAAUCUUAGAGUUCGAAUUCGCCCCCUAUAAUUUUAAAUUUCCAAAAUAACCUUCAUUUAAUUAAAAAACAUAAUUAUUAUCAAAUGAAUUAUAAUUAUAACUAUUAUUCUAUUAUAAUCAUAAAUAUAAUUAUAUUUUUUAAAUAGAUUAUUAUUGUUAUUAUUAAUAACAAGAAUAAAAAGUGUUAUAAUUAAUUAAUCUUAAUUAUUAUUAUUAUAAUAAAUUUUCGUUAAAUUGUUAAUAAUAAUAAUAAUUAACGAUAAUUAUUAUUAAUAAUUAAUUUUUGACUAAUAAUAACAAUAAAAAUAAUUAAAAUAUAAAAUAAUUAUUAUGAUAAAAAUUAAUGAAUGAUUUUAUAGCAAUUGGUUAUAAUUUAACUCAUUCGGAUUUUUAUUCUAAGACAAAGCAAAUACAUAAAUGGUAAUAAAGCUCAUUUUAAUUACGAUUUCUAUGGUUCAAGCAAAUAAGUUAUUCAAUUAUAUCACUCUAUAUUAUUUACAAUUUAUUCAUAAGUAUUAUGAAUUUUAUAGUGCAUUCACUAAAUAGGAAUCAAAUUUAGUUGGAAACAUAAUGAAUUACGAUCAGAAUAGCUAGAAUUAAAAUAAGGAAUUAGAAUCAGAAUAAUUUAUUUACUUGAACUGUAGAAAUCGUAAUUAAAAUGAGCUGUAUUACCAUUUAUUUGUUUAUUUUGUCUUAGAAUGAAAAUCAUAAUGAGUUAAAUUGUAACAUUGCUAUAAAAUUAUUAAUUAAUUUUUAUCACAAUUAUUAUUUUAUAUUUUAAUUAUUGUUAUUGUUAUUGUUAUUAUUAUUCAAAAAUUAAUUAUUAAUAAUAAUUAUCGUUAAUUAUUAUUAUUAUUAACAAUUUAACGAAAAAUUAUUAUUAAUUAUUGUUAAUAGAUUAAUUAAUUAUAAUACUUUUUAUUCUUGUUAUUAAUAAUAAAAAUAAUAAUAUAUUUAAAGAAUAUAAUUAUAUUUAUGAUUUUAAUAAAAUAAUAGUUAUUAAUUAAAUGGAGGUCAUUUUGGAAAUUUAAAAUUAUAGGGGGCGAAUUCGUACUUUAGGGUUUCAAUCAAAUAAAAUUGAGUGUAUGGGAUUAAAUGAAAUUUUAUAAUUCAGAAAAUUUUAUAAUACUUACGAAUAAAUUAUAAAUAACAUAGAGUACAGGGGGCUCAAUGAAAUUUUACAUGCUGACUGUAAGUUACAUUCAAUGUAACUUAGGCGAACCCUUGUAAUUUAGCAAGACCAUUCAUUUAUAAUAUUAAAGAAAAUUACAGAUUCUUUCAUGAAAUAUUUACAUUCAAAUUCAAAUAUGCCAUAAUACUUAACCUUUUAAAUUUGAAAGUACAACACUUAUUACUUUUUUUUAAUGAUAUGCUACAUUUAACUGCUUAAUCUAAUAGAAAAUCAGAAAUUGAUAUAUUGUAUUAAAUUUUAAUCUAAAAAAUCUAUAUUACUUCUAAUUAAUUUAACUUAUUUUACAAGUCGUAAAUAUCUAAUAAAUUGAAUUUUUCUUUGUAUGUGCGAUAUGACAAUAUUGUUUUUGAUAAAUUAAGCUAAUUACUUAAUUGUUUUAUUUAGAAUUUCGGCAUAACCAUAAGCUAUUGUAUAUUGGAUUUUCUUAUAAAAUUUUCAUUUGAGUCCAUUUUCACCACAUCAUGAAUUAUAAAUUAACUUUACUUCUUAUAUACUACAAUAUAUUCUCCGAUGGAUCAUACAAAAAAAAAAAAGUUCCACCAAACCUUCAAGUACCAUAUUCCUAAUUUAUUUACAUUUUUCAAUUUUGAAGCCAAGAAAAUAUGAAAAUAAAAAAGAAUUAAAAAUCUAGGUAAUUAACUUAGCUUAUUAAGGAUAAUAUUGUCAUCAAACGUACAAAAUAUUUCAUUUUCAUGAUUUUUUCUAUAGUUUGUAAAAUAACUUAAAUUAAUUAAGUGAAACUUGGAAUUCUUAUUAUAAUUUAACAAAAUAUAUCAACUAUUGUUUAUCUAAGGGAGUUAAGUUUGGUAUUAUAAAAUUCAAAGGAAGUAAGGGAUUUUGUUUGUUUGUUUGAAGUUUGAAUUUGAAUUAUUUUAAGACAUUUACAUUUUUUAUUUUAUUUAUUUUCUAUCACUUAUGUCUGAUUAUAAAAUGUUUAGGUUUAAAUAGAAAAAAUUAAAUAUUUUGAUUUUUAUUUAAACGGUAAAGUAUCUGAAUGAAACUUUAAUAUUCUCUCUCAUUAAUACCAUUAACACCCCUAUUAAAUAAAUUUACUUCCUACUAUAUAAAUUAUCCUUUUAUUAUAUUUUUACUUAUCCCCUUUUUUUUUAUAUACGUGCAUUAAAUUAUUAUUAUUAUUUUUAAAUAAGAACAUUAAACAUAAUAGAACUUUAGGUGAGUGUGUUUUAUACUAAGUCCAUCUUUUACUAUGUUUAUAAUAGAUUUUGAAUUUUAUUUAAUUAGUUAAUUUUAAUUCAAAUGAUUAAACAAUUCUUGAUUGACUUAUAUAAUUAACAAGAAAAAAACAUCAAUAUAGUGUACUAAAAAUAACAUUAUAAUAGCAUAUAUUAUUGUUAAAACAAUACACAUGUUAGGUAUAUAUUUUAUUUUCCAUGCUUUAUUAAGCUAAACAUUAUCAAAAAUUUUUGUACUAAUAUGUUUAUUUAUAAAUUCUCAUGUGUUUAACUAGUUAAACCAAUAAAUACAAGUAUUGGUAAUAUUUAUGAGAUUAUAUAUGGCGAAAUAUAAUAUUUUAGAUGUUUUCUUUUAAAAAACAAACAACUUAACACUUAUCUUCUAUUAUUAAAAAAAAUGAAAAACAAGCAUGUUAUUCAGAUAUAUAAAUUUAGAUAUAUUUAAACUUCAGCUAAAUUCAGACCCAUUCAAAUUUUAGACAAAAAAAAAAUGCUACCUAAAAAAAAAUGCUACGUAAGUGUCAUAAACCAUUUAAGAUAGGUAUAAGUUUUUCUUACCUAUAUUUGAGGAGGAAUUUGUAAUUUUUCCGUAAAAUUUAUGGGUGAUUCCACCUUUUCUUCGAGGCAUCAAUAAUGUAACAAAUAUAUACCAUUAGAUUUAAUAAAUGAUGUAAAAAAAAUUUAUUAGUGAAAAGCUAAAAUUAUUUAAAAAUGUUAUAACUAUUUCUUAACCAUUUAAAAAAUUAUGUAAAACUUAAAAAAAUAAAAAAGGAGAGUUAUUAUCGAUCAAAAACUUUCUCUCUCUCUCUCUCUCUCUUUCUCUCUAUCUUAUUGGAUUCUUACCCUGGGGUGUUUAUCUCUUACAUUUAAAGUCAUGAAUUAAUGUGAAUAGGGGUUUGUAUGACUAUUUGAUUAAGGUUGAAGCUGAUGGAAGGUAGGAUGAUACUCCUGAAAUACUAGUUAUGUAACUCAAAAUGGGGGUGAAUUGAGAUUUUAAAACUUAUACAAAACAAUUCGCAUAACAAUUUAAUCUAUUUCCUUAGUCAAAUAAAAAAUAAUAAAUUCAAUAAAGCCCAAUAAUAAAAGAGUAAGGGAGUAGAGAGCAAACACAAUAAUUUUAUGUGGUUCGGCAAUCAUCGCCUACGUCUACGUCUCCAAGCCAACAAAACUCGAGAAUUUCACUAUUCAAGCCUUCCAAGGCUUUAAGUUCUUUACAAUUGACUUCCUAAGUGUCAAUGAAUCUUUACAACUAAGAGAUUAUCUCUCAAUCGUUUCACCCAAGUGUUUCUCACACUUAUACACUCACAAAUUUAAUGAGAAAAUAAAAAUUACAACAAAGAAACUCUCUUUAAGAGUGGAUGUACAAUUGAUAGCUCAAUGAAGAUUUAAUCUAUGAUGAUUUUCGAAUUUGGAAGCUCAAAAUAUGUUGUUUAAACUUGUUGGUGCUUGCAAGAGUCUUAAAAUUAAAAUUGGAGUUGAGUUUUUAUAGCUAAAACCCACAAAUUAGCCGUUUUAGUAAAAUUCCAGCAAGCAAGCGACUAGCUGCUUAUUUUAGCCAUCUCCUCACUUUAGAACAGUAAAGUUACCUUUAAAUUUGAAUUUUAGUACAUUAAUACUGUUCAUAAAAUUAUAUGUUUGCCCAAAACUUUCUAUAAUUAUACUAUACCCAAAAUGUCAUAAAACUUUAUAAAUAGGUCCAAUUUCAGAUUUCUAAAUAAUACAUGUUAAUAACAAAAUUUUCUAAAAUUAUGAUAUGGCCCAAUAUAUAAUAAUAUUUUUUAAAGAAGUCCUUUCAAAAUUUAACAAAAUACUUAUAGAGUUCAAAGUUCUCAAAAUCUUUUCAAUUUAGUCCAAAAUUUAGAAAUAUGAAAUUUUCCUCAGGCAACUAGCCGCUAGCCCUUAGGCGGUUAGCCGCUAACUCUUUGUCUAUUUUUAAGAUUUACACUAAGUCCUCAACUUUCAUAAAUUAUAGUAUGGCCCAACAGGUUUCAAAUGUUUACAAAUAAGUCCAAAUUUAGAAUUCAAAACAAUACUUAUUAAAAUCAAAGAUUGCAGAACUUUUUCAUUUUAGUUCGCAUCUUGAAAAAUAUCUAACUUCACAAAAUACUUAGUUUAUACUUGUAAAACAUUUGAUUUAUGAAAAAAAUAAUGAUUUAUUAAACAAAAUCUUGAACUUCUCAAAUGCUAAACCAUUCAUAUAUUAAAUCAUACAAGCUUUACAAGAAUUGUUGCAAUAAUGAGUCUGUGGAGCUCUAAACUUUAUUCUUGAUUGUGCCGUUGUCUGUUGAAUGUUUUGAACUUGAUUUUACUUUAUUCACUUGCAUAAACAUUAUCCUUCAAGAACCAGUGAAAAUGUGAAAUAUAUUAUUUUUCAAAUCUCUUAAGACACAUAUUUGUUAUCAUCAAAAUUACAUUGUAUAGCCCUUUAGGCUAACAACUCCUAAGAGCAAAGUUGUAAUCAAAGAUAGUAGUGAACUUCCUUUGUAAUUUCUAAGAACUAUUGUCUCAUAUAAAUUAGUGAAUUAGGUCUUAAAGUACAUGUUAUUGGUGAUAUUCCUGGUGUCAAGUUCUUGGUUGUAAAGGUUUCUAGUGUUUCCCUCUUGGCUGUCUUUAAAGAGAAAAAGGAGAAACCAAGGUUUUAAGAGAGAACUGUUCGUGCGGAUUUUGUAAGCAUUUUCUAGUAUUAACUAGUAAAUGUAUUGUUGGGGUCAAUGGCGGUGACACAUUUGGAUUAUUAGGGGCUGAAGCCCCUAGUUAAACGUUUUAAAAUUUUAAUUAAUAAUAACAAUUAAUUAAUUUUAAUUUGAUUUACCUUAAAAAGUACUUAUCAAGUUAUAAAAAUAACUGGAAUAUCACAUAUUUGUUCUUACACGUUAUUUUGAAUCUUAAAAAACAGGUCAAUCCCAUAAACCUCAUCGCUUUUUUGUGUCGAAUUAUUUCAUGCAGUUUUAGACAUACAGCUUCAAAAAUUAAGCAAUCAUUUUAAUGAAAUUAAGAUUUACUUGCUUCUAUUUUUGGUAUGUUAAUCCCCAAUUACUCUGCUGCAGCCUUUUUGAGUUUUAUCCAAAUGAUUUUAUCCUCAAUGGAUCUUGUGGCACUUGAAUUUCAAUUUGCUGUGUACAUUAUGGAUGUGGAUUCUAACAUUAAAUUUUCGAGAUUGAAAGGGAUUGGUGAGCUAGAAAAAAAAUGGUUGAUACUAAGAAGGAUGAAUUGAAUUCAUUAUUUUAUCUAUUAGUGACAUUGGCAUUGAUUAAACAAUUGCCAUAACUAGAGUAGAAAGGGCAUUUUUUAGCUAUAAAUUUUAUUAAAAAUCAACUGAAAAUCAUAUAGAAGAUCAAUGGUUGAGCGAUGGUCUUGUUGUCUACAAAGAAGCAGAUAUAUUUUGUAGCUGUUGAAUUUCAGAGUCUUGACAAGUGAAAUCUUCAAAUCUUUGAUCUUUGAUUGAGAUCAAAGUAAAACAUAGAAUCAAGAACAAACUAGACAUAGAGAACAGAAACGAAGAACAUAAUUGCAUGAUACAAUAUUUUCAAGGCAUAUGUUUAAUAAUAUUUAUACUAUUAAAUCAAAUGGCUUAAUAAUUUUUUUGGACUUAUAAUGAGGUCCAAGAUUCUAAAUAUUUAUCUUAUAUGAAAAAUUUACAUCAACAUAGCCAUAAUUUUUUUUUUUAACUAAAGGAGAUUCUAAAAUUAAGAUCCAUACUAACUAAUGAGUUGUGGUCCAUAGGGUCGCGGUGGAAUGACUUUCAGUUUCUUGAUUUUACUAAUCACUGUGAGAUUGAGGGCCAGUUUGGGAUUGUAGUUGAAAUUUAAUAAGCUACUUAUUUUAUAAUUUUUGAUAAAAAUAGUGUUUGGUAAAUUUUUUAAAAUCAGGUUAUUUCAUAAUUUUCUCCAUUUUGUCAGCAGCUUUUAAAAGCAGGUAAAAUGUUGCUUUUCAUAAGCAGUUUAUUUAAUAAGCUACUACACCUUUUUAAAAUUCCUAUUAUAGUCCUAAAGUUUAAUAAAAAGACAAUUGUAUCUUACUUAUUAAUAAACUCUAAUAUAUAAAUCAUCAUAUAUCAUAUUACCGUCAUAAUUUAGUUACCGCCAUAACUACGUACAUUCUCUCCAGUUUUGAUCCAGUAAGUUCAUAUUCUAAUUUCAUAACUAUGGCGUUUAAAGUUUAAUUUAUAUAUAUUUAUAUUUUUAAUCUAAGAGCAUCACAAUACUAAUGGCUUUGGAUCCCAAGAAAUGGAAAAUAUUUUAUGUAACAGAUUGUGAAGUUCUUUAGAUUUUUUUUAAUUGAGUUUUUUUAAUGUAAUUUUAUAUAUUUAAGAAAAAAAGAUUUGUCUAAAUAAUUUAUUAAACAUACUCUAAAAAUAACAAGCAAUUAUUUUGAUCCAGUAAGUUCAUAUUCUAAUUUCAUAACUAUGGCGUUUAAAGUUUAAUUUAUAUAUAUUUAUAUUUUUAAUCUAAGAGCAUCACAAUACUAAUGGCUUUGGAUCCCAAGAAAUGGAAAAUAUUUUAUGUAACAGAUUGUGAAGUUCUUUAGAUUUUUUUUAAUUGAGUUUUUUUAAUGUAAUUUUAUAUAUUUAAGAAAAAAAGAUUUGUCUAAAUAAUUUAUUAAACAUACUCUAAAAAUAACAAGCAAUUAAAAACUUAUGUCUAUUUUGGUCAUUAUAUAAUAAAACAACACUUUCGUAAUAAAACUUACCAAACGCAUGUACUCUACUUUUCAAACUCACAGUAAUUGUAACAACAUUAUUUAUAUUUUUAAUCUAAGAGCAUCACAAUACUAAUGGCUUUGGAUCCCAAGAAAUGGAAAAUAUUUUAUGUAACAGAUUGUGAAGUUCUUUAGAUUUUUUUUAAUUGAGUUUUUUUAAUGUAAUUUUAUAUAUUUAAGAAAAAAAGAUUUGUCUAAAUAAUUUAUUAAACAUACUCUAAAAAUAACAAGCAAUUAAAAACUUAUGUCUAUUUUGGUCAUUAUAUAAUAAAACAACACUUUCGUAAUAAAACUUACCAAACGCAUGUACUCUACUUUUCAAACUCACAGUAAUUGUAACAACAUAGUUUACCAAACAUCAAGCUACUUUUUUAAUCAGCAGCUUAUUUUAUCUGCAUAAUACAAGCAACUUAUUUCAUCAGGCUUUGCAAUCCCAAACUGACCCUGAAUCUUAAGAAAGUAGAGGAUUAAUAAAAAGUAUAUUUACACUUUGCAACCCCUAAAUUUAAUAGAUUUAAUAAAUAAAUAAUUAGCAAGCUGUUGGGAAUUUUGGGCACUUUCCAACAAAUUUUUAUAUGCGGAUUUUAAGACGUGUCCUAAUUAGACCAUUUUUAAUUGGUAGAAUCUUUCAGAAUUUACGUUAUUUAAUCUAGGGUAUAACUAGUCAUCGGGCUAUUGCUCAUGUUUGUAAACAAUUUUAUGUCACCAUCAUUACUUGAUAGGUGUAAUGUAUUGGUUGAAUCCUUCAUUAGUGUCAUGAUAUUACACUACUAACUAAAUGAUGACACGUUAUACAAUCUAUUACUUUAAAUAUAAACUAUGUAUAUAUUCCAAUUGUGGAUAUCUGUAGCAUAACUUUUACUCAUUUGUAAACCUGAUAUAGAUCUUGGCUAUAUUUAAAAUAAAUUUUCUGAGCAGUGCUAUUUAGAUUGUUGACUUUUAUGUUAAUAGAUAAUAGAGAGGGUAUAGGUUACAUAAGAGAAAAGCUAUUCAAGGUAGGCAUUUAUUUGGAUCGUUUGCAUGGAAAUGAAGAUGUCCUUGUAAUAAGUUUCUUGUUUUAUUUCUCUUAGUAUAAUUUUAUUAAAUAAUUCUUAAUAAUAAAUAAAUGUAAUCACGAGUAAUUUUGUAUAUUAUUAAAACUUUAAGAUCUUGGAAUUUCAAUUAAUUUUGAGCAUUUUAUACAUAACACACUUUAUAUGAAGCAAACUGAAACUAAGUUUAGGUAAUAGUCAUUUGAACUUAUUGUAAAAUCAUUUAGGAUGAUACAAGAUGUAUAACUAGAUAUUCAAAAUCAAACCGUCAACUUUUUCAUAUUUAUCAGAUUUAGGAUGUUUCUUCUUAAUAGAUUUCUCAGCCAUCAGCGGUUUGCUGCUUCUGCCGUUGACUAUUUUCAAGGGUUAUUGAUAGUUGGUAUUAGUCAGUUUCAGCAGUCAUACGUUGAUUUUAUUCCGUCUUUGGUGACUGUAGGGGAUGAUGUGAAUUUAUAUAGAAAGCCAGAUAUAGAUAAGGUUAGACAUGUGGUUUUCUCUAUUUGAUUUUGUUCCGUCUCUGGUGAUGGUAGGGGAUGAUGUGAAUCUAUGUAGAAAGCUAGAUAUGGAUGAGGUUAGGCAGGUGGUUUUCUCUAUUAAUCUUGAUAGUGCUUCGGGUCCUGAUGGGUUCUGUAGUAAAUUUUAUCAGUACUGUUGGGAUAUUAUUAGCAAUGAUUUAUUGGAGGUUGUCCUUGAUUCCCUCAAAGGUUCGGCUAUGCCUAAGGGUUUUCAUAGUACAUUAUUGACUCAUUUUCCUAAGAAGUCAUCCCCAACAUCUUGGAUAAAUUUUAGACCGAUCAUUUUAUCAUUUUCCACAACGAGAAGUUCUCAAACUUUGCUGCCAUUUUGCUAAUACCAUACAUAAGUUAGUGUACCUCCUUGAGUAGUUAUGAGUGAUCCUGUUCACUUCCAAGGCAUGUUUAUGUUUUGGUGGUGAUAAACCUGAGUUACAUAUGUACACAAAUAUGGCAAGAGAUGUUGAUUCCAGAAAAUUCCUAUCAAAAUAUUUGCUCACUUUUGUAGGAAAAAAAAUUUGAUGCCAAUCUAAGCUUCAGUAGUGUGUUUAUUUGUCUACUACUGAAGCAAAGUAAAUUGCAAUCACUAAAGGUUACAAAAAAACCUUAUGGAUGAAAAUUUUCCUCCAAGAGUUAGGUGUGAAACAAGACAACUAUAUUGUGUACUGUGACAGUCAUAGUGCCAUUCACUUGGAAAAGAAAUUGACAUAUCAUUUGAAAUCUAAGUAUAUUGAUGUGAGAUAUUAUUGGAUACAAGACGUGCUUGAGAAGAAAUAGAUGCAGCUUGAGAAGAUUCAUGCAAUAGAGAAUGGAUCAGAUAUGAUGACAAAGUAAUUGCCUAAGGAGAAGCUGAAACAUUGUAUGUAGAAAGUGGGCUUGGUUGUGUCCCCUAUAUGAUCUGAAAGGGAGAUUUGUUGGGUCCAUCUCAUUUGAGUGGCCCACGUCCAAAGGUUUAUUAGUUUAGGUAGCUAAGUAAUUAAAAGAAACUUGAAGGGGGCAAAAUGAAAUUUUACAUUAAAAAAAAUAAGGUUUUGAAAGCGUGGUUAUAUAAGAAGGAAUAAGUGGAGGCGGCAACAACUUUUGUGCAUGGGAAAAAGACGAGAGGGAAAGAGAUAAAUAUAUAUAAAUAUGUUAACGAAAAUGCUCUUAUACAUAUUGAAUAAAUUGGUAACUAAAAUAUUUUAAAUACCUGGGAUAUGGAAUUGAGUAUUAGAAAUGGUUUGGGAUUAAUUAGUCCUAAUUUUAGUUCUAAAUGUACAAUCGAGAAAAGAUCCAGUCCAUAUUGAUGGAAACAAAAAAAUUAAUUAAACAAUUAUUGUCUAUAUCUUAAUUAUUGAUUUAAAAGGAUCAAUUGUCAAAUAAGUUAAGAUUUUUUGACUUAAUCUUUUCUAAUUAAUCAUUAUUUCAAGUAUUUAUUCAGUAGCUCCAUCUUCAACCCUUUAGAAGAGUAACAUUGAAUGGGACAUCACUCAGAGCUAGAUGCCACAGCUCGUCGUUCAUCAAAAUGCCAACAUCUCUGCACAAAACUUACAAACCGAAGGACAUAAAACAAGCUUGUAAUCACCAUAAAACUUCUCAAUCCUUAACCAAUUUCUCAUAGUUUGCAGGCCAGGAUUGCCUUUAACUCCCCAGUUGUCACAAACCCACUGCACCAAUAUUGCAUCAAAAUUGUCAAGCUUCCACACUGUGGAUUGCACACUAGUUUUUGCAACUUCAAAUUUGAUGUUUAAAUCAGUGGACUCGUGAACAUUGCCUUUUUUAGGGUUUACGGGCGAAAAUGUCAUUGACGAACCAUAUUUUAGUAUGUUUUGCUCUUGACCAACAUGUAGCGGAAAUGUUUUAUUGUUACCUCUACUACCAAGUGUAAGACCACCUCCUCAGCCAAUAUAGCUGCCAAGAUGUAGUACUUACUACCAACUUAGAGCUACUUUCCGAUGAUGUUGAGAACUGGAUCAGGUGAAGCAUUGCGUAGGACAGGCAAUGGCUAAACACCAAUAGGAUUUUAGAGGGCGAUGCCAAGAAUUUACCCUCAAAAUUUAGGAGAAAAUUGAGUUAAUUUCGCCUUCUGAUCGCCCAAUUAAAGAUUAAAAAUCUUGCCCUAAAAUUAUAAUAACCAGCCACGUUUCAUGGCAAUUUUCAUCCAACUCUAAAGCUUAAUAUUAAUUGCACAUUAAGCAAGCCUUUUCGGGCUUUAGGCUUUUGGGCCCCCAGAUGAAAUGGACCCAACACUAUGAAAGUCAAAAUUUCGAGUUUGUGUUAGAAGUCAAAUACCAUUGUCUCUUCUCUUACUCUAAAUUUAUUUUUUUCAGAUCCAAUUUUUGUGUCUUGGUCAAACGUUUUGUCAUUUUGUGUUGCAUUUAUACGAUAUGGAUUUAGAGGUUGAUAAUGGUGUUUUUUCUGAUGAUGUGGACGUUGUAGAGGCUAAAUCUCUUUGGUUUGGCAUACGACAUGCUAGUGAGGCUAGUUUGCCUCGUUGGUGGUGGACUCAGAUUCGUUACAAGUUAUUUAGUUUGUCAGCGGCAAAUGUCAUACACGUAUCGAGCUUUUUUGGAUUAUUUCAAAAAUUGAAACGCUAAUCUCAGCGGCAGAAUUUCAAAAUGUAGCAUAUUUGAAGAUGUUGUAACCAUAUUGCUGAUGUAUUAUCUAAAUUUACUUCUCAAUACUCAGAGUCUUUAGUUUGGUUGGAAGAUUAUCCUAGCUUUAAAUUUUAAAAUGUUAAUUUGUAAGUUGAAUUCUGAAAUAAAAUACCCGCAUGUAUUUAAAAAAACAUAUAGUAUGGAUUUAGAUCUAGUAUUAAGUUGAACUGGGGGUAAUUAUUUAUAAUUUUUCUACCACACAUGUAUGUAUAGUAAUAUACAAUUAAAUUUUAAUUAAUUUUAUAUUAUCAAUUAUAUUUUUUACAAAAAUUAGCAAAACAAUUCAACACUACUCUCAAUUCAAAUACAUUUAUAAUUACAAUGAUAAAUACAAAUUUAUUUACUAGGUUCACUGGAAAUAUCUGUUAGUAUUAAUUAAUUUAUUUUCCAAAAUAAUACUAAGGAUUUGAUGAGCGCUUCACAAUACAAAACAUUUUAAAUGAAAACCUACGCGUGCUUUUGCUGGGACACGACCUGCAGUUUGGUCUCAGGCCAUGGGCCGGGCCGGGCAUAACUCAUGCUAGAUUGACAGUCUGGCACGGCACAACACUUUGACAUAGAAGCUAGCAUGGGCAUGCUUGAUUGCUUGUGGCCAUUUCUAAACUAUUUUAUAAUUUCUAUUUACCCUGACGAAUUCAAUGCAAAAUCUGUUAAGUUUUACUCAUUGAUUUGAUUUGUUAGAGUACGAUACUGCCCUUGCUUAUAACGAUAUAUAUUAUCUGACGUUUGUAUUGCUCCAAAUUUAUUUAUUGAGUUAAUAAUACGUAAUGAAAUGUUUAAAUACUAAAAUGGAUUUGAGUUUUGCCCAUCCUUGUUUUUUUCUUUCGCUUUCCGAUCUCAAAAUGUAAAAUUUGGAAAUUUCAUCUAAUUCGUUUUGUUGCAUUGCUGCUGAGUGAAAUCUUCAUUCGAGAAAUAAAAUUUUCAAGAUAAUUAAUUUUUAUUAAGUAUUCACUACACUGAAAAAUCUAUAAAUUCAAUAGCCACCAAUAACUCAAACAAUGUCUACUACAAAUACGUAGGACACUCUCUAUUUCCUUUUUCAAUUCAAAAUCUUAGAAAGAUUUCACAAUUGAAUAAAUCAGCGCAUUAAUUCUAAUUAUUAUGCUACUUCUUUUUUAUAUUAUUAUUUAGCUUAAUGUCAAACCAAAGUUCCAUCCUACUCAUAUGAACAAAGUUCAAACCUUGAAUCUCUUGCUUUUAACAGAAAUGAUUUUAUAAUUUCGAAUAGAUGAUACCUACAAAAGUUACAAUGCUACUUUGAUAUAGUAGAGUUACAAAACUUUUAUAAAACUUACAAAAAUGAUAAAAUAUUCAUAUACAGUAAAAUCUCUAUAAAAUGAUAUUGUUGGAACUAAGAAAACAAUUUAUCAUGAUGAUGGUUAUUUAUUAAUUAAUGAAGAAUUUAUUAAUUUAUUGGUAAAUUAAUGAAUAUUUAUUAAUUUAAGACGAGUAUUACUUUUUAAUUACUUGUGUUAUUUAGGCAUGUGUACUAUUCUUUUCACAAAUAUUUGUGCAUGAAUUUCAAAAGUUAUCAUAUAUACAAAAGAUUCCAAUAAAUGUUAUGAACAUAUACAUAGAAGCACAAAAUAAUGUAAGUACAUUGUACAUAGUUUCAAAUUUAGUACCCUUUGAAGAUAAAGUGUUUCAGAUGCUUAGAGUACAUAGAUUAAAAAGUCUAUAAGUAUAUUGGUCAUUAGUGUCAAAUUAUUUGAUGCAUAUUUUUAGAAAAGAGUUUAAUUAAAAAAAAUUAUAGUUUUUAAGAAAAAACUCCUAAUUAAAUAUAAUAAAUUUUAUAUGUUAUUUAUUAUUUGUAUUUCUUGUAAUUAACUAAUUAUUAAUUUAUAUUUUCAUUGGACCCUAAAGGAUUCAUGGAAAAAAAAUUAUUUCAUGCAUUUAACAAGGUUGUUAAUUUAGUACAAUGGCCAAGUCAGGACUAGAAGAUUUUAUUAUUUAAUAAAAAUUAUUAAUAAUUUUUAGACUUUUCAUAAAUUUUAAAUUUACUAAUUUUUAAUUUUUAGUACAUUAAUUUAUUGAAUAUUUAUUUAUCGAUGUCUUACAGAAGAUUUACAUAAUUUGUGAUAAAGUAAACGGAUUUUCAUUACAUGGUGUCAAAUUUCUAAAACUCUAUUUUUGAUAAAAGCAGCACAGCUGUUAAUAAAAAAAGAAAACAUUUGCAUCAUUUAGAUCACAUGAGUGGGCAAACUCAUAUUUGAGUGAUUACAUGUUUGCUCUCGUAGAAUGGCCUUGGCUACCCAAGUUAUUAAAAGGAAUUGAAAAUUUAUCCAUUUUGUAAAUUUUAUGUUUAGUCUCCUUAUUUUUCUAAAGGGAGAUUGAAAGUUUGUAUCCUAUUGAAAUGAAUAUAUAUCACAUACCUUUUACUAUUUUUAUAAUAACUAAUAACCCUCUUGGCAUAAAAAUUUUAAAAAAAAGAGAGAGAAGUAAAUAAGUCAUUUACUUGAUAUUUGAUAUUGGAAAUAUAAAAUUAUUAUAAGAAAAAAAUUUGCAAAAAUAAAAGUAUAAGAAAAAUAUCUUGUGAUAAAUUUUUUAUUCAUAUCAGAACCUAGGAAAUGUACUUAUUUUUUUAUAUUAAUUUAUAUAUUUUAUUUUAUUUAUAAUAAAUAUAAAUAAAAGUACAAUAGAAAAUAAGAGUAAUAUUAUAAAAUAAUGGUGCCAGAUAAUUAUUAGGUAUUAUGAAAAUAGUAAGAGUAUAAAUAAUAUAUACUCGUUUCAAUAGAACAAUCAACCUUUUUCUAGGCAAUUUCAUCCGUAUAGCAUCUAUGCAUGGUUUAUUUAUCAUAGUCCCAUUGUUGGCUUCUUCAAUUUUAUAUACUUUAUGCUAUAAUCAAGCAAAGUUCAUAUUAUACAUUUUCUGAAUGGAGUUGAACUAUCACAAUAAUUUGAUCUUCUUCGUACUUUGAAAUGAAAAUGUUGGCACUAAUGAGGAAAAUGAUGAACCAAAAUACCAACAUGAAUAAAAGUUUUUAUUAUUCGUAAACAUGAAACGUUCAUGCAACUUUUAUUAUUACAACUUAAUUUAUUCAUUUAUUAAAGCAUGCGUACAACCUUAAAACGAAACAAACUUUAUUUUUAACUGGAAGUAUUUGCGGAGCUCUCAGCAGCUCGAUCGUCAAACCUUUUUAAAUACAACUUUGAACGGAACAUCACUCAAAGCCAGACGCCGCACCCCACCAUUAAUAAAAAUGCCAACAUCUCUGCACAAACCUCUGCAGAAAUUACAAACCGAAGGACAGUAGACAAGCUUGUAAUCACCAAAAAACUUCUCAAUCUUAAACCAAUUUCUCAUGGUUCUGGGGCCGGGAUUGCCUUCAACUCCCCCAGUUGUCACAACCCACUGCCCAAAUGCCGCAUCAAAAUUGUCAAGCUUCCACACUGUGGACUGUGCACAACUUGUUGCAGCGUCAAAUUUGAUGUUUAAGUCAGUGGACUCACGAACAACGCCUUUUUUAGGGUUAACGGGCGAAAAUGUUACCGGCAAACCAUUUCUAAAUGAGUGCUGCUCUUGAACAACAUCUACGGGACAUGUCUUAUUGUUGCUUCUGCCAGCAAGUGUAAGCCCGCCGCCUCUGCCCUUUGUAACGGGCAAGAUGUAGUACUUACUGCCAGCUCGGAGCUGCUUACCAGAGAUGUCCAGCACCGGAUCAGGUUGAGCAUUGC
rnacentral:lncRNA from 1 species